rnacentral:lncRNA from 1 species
UUCGAAUAGCAAAGAGGAACAGGCCAAGUUUGGCCGAAACCAAGCUGACGAGCAAAAAAUUGGGGAGCAUAAAUUUCUACCCCCGCUUUGGCAUUGGUCCCAGUUAAGAUAUUAUGAAAAAGCUCCCUACCGGUUAAAAACUGGAUCCAAAUGAGCAGGGAGGUGCUCGCGCUAUCUAUAGUGGAAGGGGGAUGUACAUAGUUCGGAGUCAAAAAAGAAGGAAAAGGAAAAAAGGAAGAGAUUAAAUCUAAAGAAUAAAAGAACGAAAAAAUGUCCCUUCUGGACAUAUUUACAGGAGCUAAGGGCUCAAUGGCUAGCCCAUAGCAGCUGG